GUUCUAACGUGGACCCGUGAUCCGGGUUGCGGACAGUGUCUGGUGGGUAGUUUGACUGGGGCGGUCUCCUCCUAAAGAGUAACGGAGGAGCACGAAGGUUGGCUAAUCCUGGUCGGACAUCAGGAGGUUAGUGCAAUGGCAUAAGCCAGCUUGACUGCGAGCGUGACGGCGCGAGCAGGUGCGAAAGCAGGUCAUAGUGAUCCGGUGGUUCUGAAUGGAAGGGCCAUCGCUCAACGGAUAAAAGGUACUCCGGGGAUAACAGGCUGAUACCGCCCAAGAGUUCAUAUCGACGGCGGUGUUUGGCACCUCGAUGUCGGCUCAUCACAUCCUGGGGCUGAAGUAGGUCCCAAGGGUAUGGCUGUUCGCCAUUUAAAGUGGUACGCGAGCUGGGUUUAGAACGUCGUGAGACAGUUCGGUCCCUAUCUGCCGUGGGCGCUGGAGAACUGAGGGGGGCUGCUCCUAGUACGAGAGGACCGGAGUGGACGCAUCACUGGUGUUCGGGUUGUCAUGCCAAUGGCACUGCCCGGUAGCUAAAUGCGGAAGAGAUAAGUGCUGAAAGCAUCUAAGCACGAAACUUGCCCCGAGAUGAGUUCUCCCUGAGACUUAGAGUCUCCUGAAGGAACGUUGAAGACGACGACGUUGAUAGGCCGGGUGUGUAAGCGCAGCGAUGCGUUGAGCUAACCGGUACUAAUGAACCGUGAGGCUUAACCUUACAACGCCGAAG
rnacentral:rRNA from 1 species